rnacentral:rRNA from 1 species
UACGUAGGGGCCAAGCGUUGUCCGGAUUUAUUGGGCGUAAAGAGCUCGUAGGCGGCUUGUCGCGUCGACUGUGAAAACCCGCGGCUCAACCGUGUGGUCUGCAGCCGAUACUGCGGGGCUAGAGUGCAGAAGGGGCAACUGGAAUUCUCGGUGUAGCGGUGAAAUGCGUAGAUAUCGAGAGGAGCACCUGCGGCGAAGGCGGGUUGCUGGGCUGACACUGACGCUGAAGUGCGAAAGCUAGGGGAGCGAACGGG